CGCUCCGCUUUUCUGGGUGAUGUCGCCAAAGCGGCGCCGACCGGGACCCUCUGGCCAGGCGGGGUUGGCAGCGGCAGCAGUAGCGGCGCGGCCCGCCCAAUUGCUGCUUGUGGAUGCUGUCUCUUCAAAAUUAUUUUCAUUUAUGAACUGUGAAAAAGGUUAAAUAGUAGCACCUGGAAGACUCCAGUGAGAAUUGGAGUGUGACAAGUUAGCAGAGGAAAGGAGUUGUUGUUUCCAUUCCAUGGAUCCCUUGGGUGCUCCUUCCCAGUUUGUGGAUGUUGACAGUCUGCCAGGCUGGGCUGAUGCCUAUGAGGCUAAGCAGCUGGACUCUCACCAAAAUCCUGUUGAAAAAGCUCAACUUGAUGUUAGAUCACCUUUUCCGUACAGGAAAGACAUCAAUGCAAAAAUAAUCUUAUGGAAAGGAAAUGUAGCGUUACUGAACUGCACAGCCAUAGUAAAUACCAGUAAUGAGUCUCUCACUGAUAAGAAUCCAGUGUCUGAAAGCAUAUUCAUGCAUGCUGGGCCUGACCUGAGGGAUGAACUCCAGAAGCUCAGAGGGUGCAGGACAGGCGAGGCUAAACUCACCAAAGGAUUUAAUUUGGCUGCACGUUUCAUCAUUCACACAGUGGGACCCAAAUAUAAAAGCCGGUAUCGCACAGCAGCCGAGAGUUCUCUGUAUAGCUGUUACCGCAAUGUUCUGCAGCUCGCAAAGGAACAGGCAAUGUGCUCUGUAGGAUUUUGCGUCAUUAACUCCCUGAAAAGAUGCUACCCCUUGGAGGAUGCAACCCACAUAGCACUGCGCACAGUUAGAAGGUUCUUGGAGAUUCAUGGAGCCACACUGGAGAAGGUGGUGUUUGCAGUCUCUGAGCUUGAAGAGGCCACUUACCAGAAGUUGCUGCCUCUGUAUUUUCCAAGAUCAUUGGAAGAAGAGAUACAAUCCUUGCCUUACCUCCCUGCAGAUAUUGGCAAUGCAGAAGGAGAGCCUGUAGUACCAGAGCGGCAGAUCAGGAUUACUGAAAAGCCGGGUGUUCCGGACGAUGCUUCAGAUGAAGAGGGUCUGGAGGCAGAUUUGUCUUUCAUUGGUUCCCAUGCUUUUGCCCGCAUGGAGGGAGACGUUGAUAAACAGAGACGCCUCAUCCUUCAGGGACAGUUGUCAGAGGCAGCACUGCAAAAACAGCAUCAGAGGAAUUAUAAUCGCUGGCUGUGUCAGGCAAGAGCUGAAGACCUUUCUGAUAUUGCUUCUCUUAAAGCCUUGUACCAGACAGGUGUAGAUAACUGUGGCCGCACAGUGAUGGUGGUGGUUGGAAGGAAUAUCCCUGUAACAUUGAUAGACAUGGAAAAGGCUCUUCUGUAUUUCAUCCACGUCAUGGAUCAUAUUGCAGCCAAGGAGUAUGUCCUGGUGUACUUCCAUACGCUCACAAAUGAUUACAAUCAACUAGACUCUAAUUUCUUGAAGAAACUCUAUGAUGUUGUUGAUGCCAAGUACAAGAGGAACUUGAAGGCACUGUAUUUUGUCCACCCAACAUUUCGUUCAAAGGUCUCGGCAUGGUUUUUCACAACCUUUACAGUCUCAGGGCUAAAGGACAAAAUCCACUAUGUGGAAAGCCUUCAGCAGUUAUUCACAGCCAUACCCCCAGAACAGAUUGAUCUCCCCCCUUUCGUCCUCGAGUAUGAUGCCAGGGAAAAUGGGCCUUACUAUUCUUCUUAUCCUCCGUCCCCUGACUUGUGAUGUGCAGUCCUGCGAUGCUGCUGGUUUCCCAUGGAUCCAAUGACCCGAUGCCUGCCAAAACCUGUGCAUUUGCCCAUGUACAGAAUUCAGAGAGAGGGUUUUCCUCCCCCAGCUCUGAUGAUACAUGUGAGAGAGCCACAGGAUACUUACGGAACAGGAGGUGAAAAGUUUUUCAGCCUACCAAUGGAAAGCUAAAAGAGAAGGGAGAAGGCUCCCUUGCAAAACAUAAUCAGGGAUGGCAGUCCCGAAUACAGAAGGAUGGAAACCCUGGUAGGAAGAAUGUCACAACAGUACUGAAUAUGAAAAUGAUGGCAUGGUUUUCAUGUUUUCAUUCUAGCUGCUUUCCUGUCCUGACUUGUAUCUGUUACUCUUUCUUUACCGAACUUCAAUUUUCCCUGUUCUGCCACUUCUGCAAUAACUACCUUUUUUUAAGCAUAAGCAAAAGUCAUUGUGAGAUAUGUUAGAAGGUGGUUAUUCACACCCAUUGAGUCGAUAGGAAAUAGGUAUCUCCCUCCUGUUUAAAGAUACUGUAAAUUGUUGGGACAAACAGGAAAAAAAAAUCCUCCCUUGGUCAUCUAAUUGCAUGUCACAAUUUGUGUUUGCAGUCUGAGAGUUAGGGCUUGUGCAAGUUAGGAGUGCUGUGAAAGAUGAGCCGUACUGAGUUUCCUUUCUUACCUUGGCCUCCUGGCUUAAUGUUGGGUUUAUAUUCCACAUAUUCUCAGCAUGUUGGUAUGUCAGUUACAGAUUAAGAUAAUCACUUGGCUGGGGUUUGAGAGUCAUGUAUAUACAACAUAUAAAAAGCAAGUGGUUUUUGCUUUUUAAGUGUCCCCCAGGGUCCUUGCGUGAUUCCAUUAUCAGAUCCAAGGUGCUCCUAAAGCUGGAAACUGUAGCACAAUGGAAAACCACCUUGGUGUUAAUACUUGGGAGUGUUGUACCUUAUGGUCAGUUCACAUGUGAUUCUUUCAGCACUUUUCUGGUGGUUUUCGAGAAGAAAAUAGCAGCAGUCUAUACAGACCAGCUACCACGUGUCCCUACCUCCUCUUUUCAUCUAGCUGUUUACAGCUGCCCUCGUCUAGUGACAUUUAUAGCCAGCAAUGAAUUUUCCAUGCUUCUCUAACAAUUUGUAUAGCUUUCCACCCCCAUUAACCAUCUGCUGUUUUUCACACCCAUGGCAUUUUCAGUGGGGCUGUUGCAGAAUAGCCAGUGUCCACUUAAUAGGCAGAUUAAAGGUAAUUCGGAGCAUAUUGUGAAAACUGAACUCUCAGCUUCACAGCUUUUAGAUGGUUUCUGUUUCUUUAGCUCACAGAUGGCUCAGAGUCAUAAAACCCAAACAGUUCUUCUUAGGACUCAGUCUGCACGUUUUUCAAACCUAGUCCAGUCAUUUUAAGAAAUUACUUGGCUCAGUGAAGUGCGAAUGUGCCUCCAGAGCAUUAGCAAAGCAAAAAGGAGAUCUUGGCACUGUGCAUCUUAUUGUGUAUAUUUUUCCCUUGAAAGACUUUGCUUUAAUUUUUUUUCUUUUACCCAAGUCAUGAAAACUUGAGUGGCAAGACAGACCUGCAUUGUGCUGCAAAGAUCCUGCAUUUUCCAGAAGAUGGUUAGAUAAGGAUAAACAGAGAUGGAAACCUUCUCCAUUGCUAGCUGAACAAGUGACCGCUCUUUGAAUUUUCACAUAAAAUGCUUCUUCCGACCCCUUGCCAGACAUCUGGAGACAAACAGCUUCUAAAAGGAACCAACAUAAAAGAUGUAUGUUUUGAAUUGUUUCAUUGGCUAAAAUAUUUUUUGGAGCCUCUUGGUUGCUCUUGUUUUUCCCCCUUGCUUGGGUUGUAUCAAAUCCAUCUUGUACACCACCAGUACUGGGCAAAGUCUUCCAGGAAAAAGAGAGCAAUCAAGACCUAAUUUCCUAAAUAAAAAAAAUAAACAAACAAAAAGAAGAAACCCAAGUCUGCCAAUGUUGCAGAUAUUUGUGUCUGCUUAUAAAGAAACAAACAACCAAAAAACAUCCCCCAAACAAAGCGACUGUCCUCCCUCCUCCCUCUCACAAGACAGGCUAGAAAGCCAACUCUCCUUUCUGUUUUAAUGCUGUUUUUCAAAGAAAAAGGAAGUUUUCAAGUUGGAGACAGAAUGAAAUGGGCUAUUUUAUGCCAGCAAUUUGUGUUGAGACUUCCAAAAAGCUUUAGCCCACCAUUUUAGAGAAGCAUAGACCCAUAGGGUUUAUAUCCCUACCUGGCAAAUCACCCAAGGCAAUAAAUAAAGGACAAGCAAAGAUACAUUUAGAAAAUCAUAAACCCACUGACAGGGGAUGCCUGCUGCAGAGCAAAUACCAACAUCUCACAAACCUAAUGGGAUAUUCAGCUGAAUCAGCCAAAAAGUGGCUAAAAGGGAAUGCACUGACAUUAAUUUGGGCUUUCCAAGGUUUUUAAUAACGUUUUUCAUAAGUUAAUCUGCAGACACAGUGUACGGAUGUAGGGUCGUGCUUUUUUUUUUUUCUUUCUAGCCAUUCUGCCUCAUGGUGUUUAACCUAAAGAUUAUUGAAAUAGAUAUUAAAACCUUCCUUACUAGUA